GCAGUAGUUCACUGGGAGGGCAUCUGCUUGGCAUGCAGGAGGUCCCAGGUUUAAUUCCUGGCAUCUCCA
rnacentral:tRNA from 1 species